UACGGGGGGGGCAAGCGUUAUUCGGAAUUACUGGGCGUAAAGGGCUCGUAGGCGGCCAACUAAGUCAGACGUGAAAUCCCUCGGCUUAACCGGGGAACUGCGUCUGAUACUGGAUGGCUUGAGGUUGGGAGAGGGAUGCGGAAUUCCAGGUGUAGCGGUGAAAUGCGUAGAUAUCUGGAGGAACACCGGUGGCGAAGGCGGCAUCCUGGACCAAUUCUGACGCUGAGGAGCGAAAGCCAGGGGAGCAAACGGG
rnacentral:rRNA from 1 species